UGAGGAACAUGACCUUCGGCGGGGGAUAGCCGGCCCAACGGCCGGGUAAUACCGCGUACGACCAUUUGGGGACAUCCCCGAGUGGUGAAAGCAGCAAUGCGCCGAUGGAGUGCCUCGCGGCCUAUCAGCUAGUUGGUGGGGUAACGCUCACCAAGGCAACGACGGGUAGCUGGUCUGAGAGGAUGGCCAGCCANAUUGGAACUGAGACACGGUCCAGACUCC
rnacentral:rRNA from 1 species